rnacentral:lncRNA from 1 species
CUCCAUCCUUUAUUAUCCAUCUAUAUGCACAGAUCUUAAAGUACUCUAUCCUCUAUCAGUCAUCCACCUACAUAAAUUCUAAAGUGCUUCACCCUCUAUUAUCCAUCCAUCUAUACAAAAAAUUUCAAAAUACUUCAUCAUCUCUUAUCCAUCAAUCUGCAUAGAUCUUAAAACACUCUAUUCUCUAUCAUUUAUCCUUCUCCAUAGAUCUCAAAGCACUCUAUCCUUUGUCGUCUAUCCAUCUGUGUAGAUCUCAAAGCCAUUCAUUUAUGGUCAUCAUUUAUCUGAUAGAUCUCAAAGCACUCUAACCUUAAAGCACUUUGUCUUUUGUUGUACAUAUGCCUACAUAGAUCUCAAAGCACUCCUUCUUCAAUCAACGAUACUUCUAUACAGAUCUCAAAGCACUUUAUUUUCUGUCAUGCAUCUACAUAGAUCUUAAAGCACUAUCCUCUAUCAUUCAUCUACUUGUACAGAUCUCAAAAUACUCCUUCCUCUUCAACUUUUUGUACAGAUCUCAAAAUACUCUAUCCUAUCAUUCGUUCGCUUACACAGCUUACAAAGCACUUCAUUCUCUAUCAUCUAUCCAUUUAUACAAAUCUCAAAGUACUUCAUCAUCUAUCAGCCUGCAUAGAUCUCAAAGUACUAUAUUUUUUAUUAUUUAUCCACAUGCAUAGUUCUCAAAGUGCUCAAUCCUCUAUUAUCCAUUCAUUUACAUAGAUCUCAAUAAACUUUAUCCUCUAUCAUCUAUCCACUUACACAAAUCUCAAAGUACUCCAUCAUUUUCAUCUUUCUGAACAGCUAUCAAAGUACCAUAUCCUCUAUCAUUUAUCUAUCUACAUAAAUCUCAAAAAUUUUCAGCCUCUAUCAUCGAUUUGUUUGUACAAGUCUCAUAACACUCCAUCCUCUAUUAUCCACUUGUUUAUGCAGAUCUCAAAGUACUCCAUCCUAUAUUAUUAUCUGUUUGCAUGGAUCUCAAAGCACUCUAUCUUUUAUUAUUCAUCAAUCAAUAUAGAUAUCAAAGCACUCCAUUCUUUAUCAUUCA